UACGAAGGGGGCGAGCGUUGUUCGGAUUUACUGGGCGUAAAGGGCGCGUAGGCGGCCUCCCAAGUCAGGCGUGAAAGCCCCGGGCUCAACCUGGGAGGUGCGCUUGGGACUGGGGGGCUGGAGUUCGGGAGAGGAGCGUGGAAUUCCCAGUGUAGAGGUGAAAUUCGUAGAUAUUGGGAAGAACACCGGUGGCGAAGGCGGCGCUCUGGACCGAGACUGACGCUGAGGCGCGAAGGCGUGGGGAGCAAACAGG
rnacentral:rRNA from 1 species